rnacentral:rRNA from 1 species
ACGGAAGGCAGCAGUGGGGAAUAUUGCACAAUGGGGGAAACCCUGAUGCAGCGACGCCGCGUGAGUGAAGAAGUUAUUCGUAAUGUAAAGCUCUAUCAGCAGGGAAGAAAAUGACGGUACCUGACUAAGAAGCCCCGGCUAACUACGUGCCAGCAGCCGCGGUAAUACGUAGGGGGCAAGCGUUAUCCGGAUUUACUGGGUGUAAAGGGAGCGCAGACGGCUUUGCAAGUCUGAUGUGAAAGGCAGGGGCUCAACUUCUGGACUGCAUUGGAAACUGUAGGGCUAGAGUGUCGGAGAGGUAAGCGGAAUUCCUAGUGUAGCGGUGAAAUGCGUAGAUAUUAGGAGGAACACCAGUGGCGAAGGCGGCUUACUGGACGAUAACUGACGUUGAGGCUCGAAAGCGUGGGGAGCAAACAGGAUUAGAUACCCUGGUA